UCAAUUGUAUAUCAUUUGCUAAUACAAAAAAAAAAGGUGCGGGACAUAACCUCCUUCCUUGACCCUUUAUAUAAGACCCACUCAUCAUUCCAUCCUUUUACACAUUGCCUAUUAUAUCAAUCUUCUUCCACUUAUUUAGUUUCCUGCUUUUUUCGUUCUUAUAUAUAUAUAAACUACCAAGUCUUCUCUUUCUCAAGAGGUCAGCUAUGGUGUCUACAGAAGAAGAAGAAGAAGAAGAAGAAGAAGAUGGGAGAAAAAGGGAGAUGGUGUUUUAGAUAUGAAACAAUGAUGAUAACAAUAAUUGAUAGAUGGAGAAAGAUGGGCUUUGCAAUAGUUUUACGCUCUUCGAUAGAAAUGUAAGUCUGGGGAGAGCGAGAUUAUUGCAUUGCUUGCACCUGGGGAAUCGAAGGUUACUGGUCCGAUUUUUUUUCCUUAACCCGAAAAAAAUCAUUCUUAUAAUUUUAUAUAUCUCUUUACUUAAAUUAGUGUUUUGUAUGUGCGCCUGUGUGUGUGUUUUUACUCUAUGGUUGAUUAUUUUUCAUGUAAUGUUAUAUGAAAGUGAUGGUAGUAUCUGUCAACUGAAUAACUUAAGUUACAUUUCAGAUAAANNN
rnacentral:lncRNA from 1 species